GAUGAACGCUGGCGGCGUGCUUAACACAUGCAAGUCGAACGAAGAGGCCCAGCUUGCGUGGGGUAUUAGAGGCGAAAGGGUGAGUGAAACACGAGUAAAAUGCCCUCGAGUCUGGGGUAAGACUGCGGGAAACGGGCUAAAACUGGAGAUGACAUCUCAUCGCACGGUGGGGGGGGGGAAGAUUUUCCGGUCUUGGAUGGACUCGCGGCCUAUCAGCUUGUUGGUGGGGUAAUGGCUCACCAAGGCGCUGACGGGUAGCCGGCCUGAGAGGGUGACCGGCCACAUUGGGACUGAGAUACGGCCCAGACUCCUACGGGAGGCAGCAGUGGGGAAUAUUGCACAAUGGGCGGAAGCCUGAUGCAGCGACGCCGCGUGCGGGAUGACGGCCUUCGGGUUGUAAACCUCUUUCGGUUGUGAAGAAGCGAGAGUGACGGUACCGGCUAAAGAAGCGCCGGCUAACUACGUG
rnacentral:rRNA from 1 species